GCCGGGAUGGCGGAAGUGGUAGACGCGCAUGGUUGAGGGCCAUGUGGACAUCAAGUCCAUGGGGGUUCAAUUCCCCCUCCCGGCACCA
rnacentral:tRNA from 1 species